UUCACCUACCUACACACCUGUGCUCCUGGCUUCAGCCUUGAAUUAUUUUCUCCUCAAGGCUGCAAAGAUCGUAAACUCUCUUGCAGGCUCAAAUGAAGACUGAAAUUCUAUGAAGUUCUUUUUUACCUGUUUUUCAGAAUCAUAGAGCUACAGGAGAAUGCAACGAUGAGUGGGAUCAUGGAAUUAUGUUCCAUGGUAGUCUGUGACUGAUUACUAUCUGACAUAAGAGUAUUAACAUCUCUUUUAAUUUUUCACAGAAACCAUCAGGAGUAUCCUCCAGGGACAAGAGUGUCAAAUUGUAUGUGUCACCUCUAAAACAUCGUCGGGACGAUGAGUGGAUGGCGAGGCUGAGGAAAUUUGCCAACUCUAACCCAACUUGGCUUUCUGGAGGAGGCAAUAGACCAGUCCUAAGGCAGCGAAAGUGGCAUGACAUAUCAGCAGAAACCAGCGCAAAUGCACUGAAUUUCCAGUUGUACUUCCUGGCAGGCCUGAACAGGUGGAACUAGGAUCAAGGCGCUGCGGUGGUAACCAGCAAGCCAUCAUCUAUCCUCGCCUACUCCGGGGAUAUGGCCCACUGUGUCAGCACUGACAGGCUGAAGGAGAGCUGCUUAGUGUUGACUACCUGCUGAGUCAGACCGUAAUGCCCCUGAAGGUGAACCUCUGACUCAGAGGAGACAGACGACAUGCUGGAGGAUGCGGAUGAGGGUGUGGAGGAAGAUGAGGGCUUUGAGAAAGCCCCAAAGACUUGCUCUUACUGUGUCAAUUCUUCUCGACCCAAGCUUCUGUCUCAUCCUGGCGUUGUCCCUCUUCUGAACCCCUCUCUCCCACCCUGCUGCGUCCUCCCAGGCUGCUUCCUCCUAGGCUGUUGCCACCAUGCCGCAGGCAGGUGUCUCCUCAGCACUUGAUUCAGCAUCUGCCAAGUCCGGGUUAUGUAAAUUCAUAAUUAUGUGUGAAGAAAUUCAAUUACUAUCUGAAUUUUGUUCCACUUUACUGUCCUCAAAUUUUUUUGCCCCCCCAGGGUGUAGUCAAUUCUGGGGCAGUAGGCGUGGACAGUUUUAAUGGCGUUUGCUGCCAGACACCAAAGCAAGCUGGAAACGGGGAGGAGAGGAAGGUCUCGCGCACAGUUGUGACAUCUGUGGCAGCUCUUACCUUCACCGCACUCGGGCCCCCAGCUGGUGAUACAGGCUACAGUGGCUUCAUAGGUGCGUGGUCACUGCCCCACAGACCCUGGGUGUCUCCUCUGCCCCUCCUGCUCCAGCCCGAAAAGUGACUUGCACAGUAAUUAACAACAUGAGCCGGAAAUACAGGGAGUUCAGGAUAGUAGAGAGACUGGAUACAGCCAAUACAAGGGCAUUGUAUACUGCCCCGCACUAAGGGCUUCUCCCAAGGAGCACUGGUUGGAGGACAAUAAACUAAAUGAUAACCCACUCUCUCAGAGGCAUGGACAAUAGACAGUUUUAUUUCUGUUUAUAGUUCUGUAUGUUUUCUGUUGUCUAUGGUUACUGUUGAAUGAAUG